CUGUGUGUAUAUUUUCCUGAAGCAUCUUGGUUUGACUUUUAUACAGUAUGUCUUUUAGAUAUUUUAUAGAAAAAUAAUAUAAAUCCAUGAACUCAGAGAUUUAUAUGAUAUUUUUUUCACUGUUUUUAUAUGACCUCUAGACUCUUGGACUGGAUAAUUCUGGCUUGGUUAUUUGUGAAACCCUUUAUUUAGAGUUGUUUGCUCUUCUCAAAAUAGUAGAAUUGGGCCAUAUAUAGAUUGGCAAAUAUUUAAGAUGUGAGAUGGGAUGAAUUUUUAUUUUUAGAAGCAGAGUAGACAUUUAUUUUAUGCAAACAUUUAAAUUCUUAAAAGCAAAUGACUCUCCACUUUGAUAUUUCUUUAUAAAGGAGCAUAAUAGAGAUGAUACUCCAUGAAUCAGGCGCUUUUUCUUGCAAGAAACAUAAACCUAUUCAAGCUACCUCAAGUAUGGGAUUCAUUACAAGGAUUCAUAUGAACUGACAGAGGAAAUCUCAAGGAAAUCCAGGAACAAUGACUGUAAUAGCACCGGAUUUCAUGGAGAAAUUCAGGAUUCAUUUGCACAGCUGUCUGAAAACUUUUGGCCUCAUAAAUGCUCUGGAUGAACAGGGAGAAGCAUCCGGUUCCUUUUUCUGAGAUGAUGCUGACUCUAUUGGUAAGUAGACCAACAUGUGCAACAGUUGAAAUGUUCUGGGUUUCAAUAUGACUUUACUUAAAAUGAAAGAUUGGAGACUUAAAACAAUACCACGGGGAAGAUUCUGCUUUCCCCAACUUUACUGUCGAGGAACCUGAAAUUUUCCUUAUAUCUGGCCACUCCUCUGGGUCAAACAACGCAAGUGAGACCAUUAUCUCCAGGAAGAUGCUGACAAAAUACACUAUGGUUACCUGACAGGAGAGAGCGUUUAUGUUAUUAGCAUGCUAAAAUAAAACUUUUCUCAUUAAUUUAUUCUCA
rnacentral:lncRNA from 1 species